rnacentral:rRNA from 1 species
AUGCAAGUCGAACGGUAACAGGUCUUCGGAUGCUGACGAGUGGCGAACGGGUGAGUAAUACAUCGGAACGUGCCCGAUCGUGGGGGAUAACGGAGCGAAAGCUUUGCUAAUACCGCAUACGAUCUACGGAUGAAAGCAGGGGACCGCAAGGCCUUGCGCGGACGGAGCGGCCGAUGGCAGAUUAGGUAGUUGGUGGGAUAAAAGCUUACCAAGCCGACGAUCUGUAGCUGGUCUGAGAGGACGACCAGCCACACUGGGACUGAGACACGGCCCAGACUCUACGGGAGGCAGCAGUGGGGAAUUUUGGACAAUGGGCGCAAGCCUGAUCCAGCCAUGCCGCGUGCAGGAUGAAGGCCUUCGGGUUGUAAACUGCUUUUGUACGGAACGAAAAGACUCCUUCUAAUAAAGGGGGUCCAUGACGGAAGCGUAGAAUAGCACGGCGAACUAC